rnacentral:rRNA from 1 species
GACGUAGGGGGCCAGCGUUGUUCGGAAUUACUGGGUGUAAAGGGUUCGUAGGCGGUGUGGCAAGUCGGGAGUGAAAUCUCUGGGCUCAACCCAGAGUCUGCUUCCGAAACUGCUGUGCUUGAGUGUGGGAGAGGCGCGUGGAAUUGCAGGUGUAGCGGUGAAAUGCGUAGAUAUCUGCAGGAACACCCGUGGCGAAGGCGGCGCGCUGGACCACUACUGACGCUGAGGAACGAAAGCUAGGGGAGCAAACAGG